UUAGAUUGUCAAUAGAUAUUGCUUUCCUACCCCCUCCUCCAAGUUUGGUGAAUUGACCAACCAAACCCUCAAGACUGCCAUUGGCAAGUCCCUUGAUUGGUACCAGGAAGGGUGGGCAAACAACCUGAAGGUAAUUCUCUUUGCACACAACAGCAGCAUCCAGGCCUCCACCGAGUACGGACAGGAGCCGCAGCUGUUGACUGAGAUCACUGAAACCCCAGCUGAUGUGGUGGAAGUUGUCAAAUCAGAUUCGAAUGCCUUCGAGGACCACCUUCAGGCACGGACUAAGAAGGAUGUGGAGGUUUUUGACCAGUCAAGGUGGACUGAACAUCAACAAGGCGCAGGAGAAACAGAAGGAGAGCUACCGGACCAGAAUCAAGCACAGGAGCAAGUGCUACGACAUCCAAGCGAACUACUUGGUUUGGAAGAAGAACAAAAGAAAGGCGAGACCUGCGAAACCUCGCUGUUCUUUCACUCCUAGCUGGGGUCACCAUCUGUUAAAGUGAAUAUAAAAAUAACUAUUUGCAUUUGCACACAAAAUAACCUGAAGCUAGUUUUAGUUUCCCUAACACUGAUAUUUUUCUGGCUCUAUCAUCCUGGGCAUGUAAUAUGUGAGAUGCAAAGAUGAACUAAAAACACUAGCACUGCAAAAACUCAGAACAAAGUGAGCAGCAGUGCCCAGACUUUGCAGUCUCCCGCUUCAAUUUCCCCUUCCAAGACUGGCUGCCUGUUGAGAAGUGACCAGCAGGACCUCCCACCCACACAGCAACCACCUCCUCUAUAUUCCACACUCCAGAAUUCAGUAUUUUAGUCUAUGAUUGCCAUGUGAAUGUACAAAAAAUCUGAAAAUAAAUUACUGACACAACUGUACCAAAAAAUAUAAACAUUUAUGUA